GAUGAACGCUGGCGGCGUGCCUAAUACAUGCAAGUCGAGCGAACAGACGAGGAGCUUGCUCCUUUGACGUUAGCGGCGGACGGGUGAGUAACACGUGGGUAACCUACCUAUAAGACUGGGAUAACUUCGGGAAACCGGAGCUAAUACCGGAUAAUAUUUCGAACCGCAUGGUUCGAUAGUGAAAGAUGGCUUUGCUAUCACUUAUAGAUGGACCUGCGCCGUAUUAGCUAGUUGGUAAGGUAACGGCUUACCAAGGCAACGAUAUGUAGCCGACCUGAGAGGGUGAUCGGCCACACUGGAACUGAGACACGGUCCAGACUCCUACGGGAGGCAGCAGUAGGGAAUCUUCCGCAAUGGGCGAAAGCCUGACGGAGCAACGCCGCGUGAGUGAUGAAGGUCUUCGGAUCGUAAAACUCUGUUAUUAGGGAAGAACAAACGUGUAAGUAACUGUGCACGUCUUGACGGUACCUAAUCAGAAAGCCACGGCUAACUACGUG
rnacentral:rRNA from 1 species